GGGCGUUAAGUUGCAGGGUAUAGACCCGAAACCCGGUGAUCUAGCCAUGGGCAGGUUGAAGGUUGGGUAACACUAACUGGAGGACCGAACCGACUAAUGUUGAAAAAUUAGCGGAUGACCUGUGGCUGGGGGUGAAAGGCCAAUCAAACCGGGAGAUAGCUGGUUCUCCCCGAAAGCUAUUUAGGUAGCGCCUCGUGAAYUCAUCUCCGGGGGUAGAGCACUGUUUCGGCUAGGGGGCCAUCCCGGCUUACCAACCCGAUGCAAACUGCGAAUACCGGAGAAUGUUAUCACGGGAGACACACGGCGGGUGCUAACGUCCGUCGUGAAGAGGGAAACAACCCAGACCGCCAGCUAAGGUCCCAAAGUCAUGGUUAAGUGGGAAACGAUGUGGGAAGGCCCAGACAGCCAGGAUGUUGGCUUAGAAGCAGCCAUCAUUUAAAGAAAGCGUAAUAGCUCACUGGUCGAGUCGGCCUGCGCGGAAGAUGUAACGGGGCUAAACCAUGCACCGAAGCUGCGGCAGCGACRCUGUGYGUUGUUGGGUAGGGGAGCGUUCUGUAAGCCUGUGAAGGUGKSYYGUGAGGSWUGCUGGAGGUAUCAGAAGUGCGAAUGCUGACAUAAGUAACGAUAAAGCGGGUGAAAAGCCCGCUCGCCGGAAGACCAAGGGUUCCUGUCCAACGUUAAUCGGGGCAGGGUGAGUCGACCCCUAAGGCGAGGCCGAAAGGCGUAGUCGAUGGGAAACGGGUUAAUAUUCCCGUACUUGGUGUUACUGCGAAGGGGGGACGGAGAAGGCUAUGUUGGCCGGGCGACGGUUGUCCCGGUUUAAGCGUGUAGGUGUGUGUUCCAGGUAAAUCCGGUUCACUUUAACACUGAGGCGUGAYGACGAGGCACUACGGUGCUGAAGCAACAAAUGCCCUGCUUCCAGGAAAAGCCUCUAAGCAUCAGGUAACAUCAAAUCGUACCCCAAACCGACACAGGUGGUCAGGUAGAGAAUACCAAGGCGCUUGAGAGAACUCGGGUGAAGGAACUAGGCAAAAUGGUGCCGUAACUUCGGGAGAAGGCACGCUGACACGUAGGUGAAGUGAUUUACUCAUGGAGCUGAAGUCAGUCGAAGAUACCAGCUGGCUGCAACUGUUUAUUAAAAACACAGCACUGUGCAAACACGAAAGUGGACGUAUACGGUGUGACGCCUGCCCGGUGCCGGAAGGUUAAUUGAUGGGGUCAGCGCAAGCGAAGCUCCUGAUCGAAGCCCCGGUAAACGGCGGCCGUAACUAUAACGGUCCUAAGGUAGCGAAAUUCCUUGUCGGGUAAGUUCCGACCUGCACGAAUGGCGUAAUGAUGGCCAGGCUGUCUCCACCCGAGACUCAGUGAAAUUGAACUCGCUGUGAAGAUGCAGUGUACCCGCGGCAAGACGGAAAGACCCCGUGAACCUUUACUAUAGCUUGACACUGAACAUUGAGCCUUGAUGUGUAGGAUAGGUGGGAGGCUUUGAAGYGUGGACGCCAGUCUGCRUGGAGCCGACCUUGAAAUACCACCCUUUAAUGUUUGAUGUUCUAACGUGGACCCGUAAUCCGGGUUGCGGACAGUGUCUGGUGGGUAGUUUGACUGGGGCGGUCUCCUCCUAAAGAGUAACGGAGGAGCACGAAGGUUGGCUAAUCCUGGUCGGACAUCAGGAGGUUAGUGCAAUGGCAUAAGCCAGCUUGACUGCGAGCGUGACGGCGCGAGCAGGUGCGAAAGCAGGUCAUAGUGAUCCGGUGGUUCUGAAUGGAAGGGCCAUCGCUCAACGGAUAAAAGGUACUCCGGGGAUAACAGGCUGAUACCGCCCAAGAGUUCAUAUCGACGGCGGUGUUUGGCACCUCGAUGUCGGCUCAUCACAUCCUGGGGCUGAAGUAGGUCCCAAGGGUAUGGCUGUUCGCCAUUUAAAGUGGUACGCGAGCUGGGUUUAGAACGUCGUGAGACAGUUCGGUCCCUAUCUGCCGUGGGCGCUGGAGAACUGAGGGGGGCUGCUCCUAGUACGAGAGGACCGGAGUGGACGCAUCACUGGUGUUCGGGUUGUCAUGCCAAUGGCACUGCCCGGUAGCUAAAUGCGGAAGAGAUAAGUGCUGAAAGCAUCUAAGCACGAAACUUGCCCCGAGAUGAGUUCUCCCUGAGACUUA
rnacentral:rRNA from 1 species